rnacentral:tRNA from 1 species
UCCGGGGUAGCUCAAUUGGCAGAGCAGCGGACUGUUAAUCCGUUGGUUGAGAGUUCAAGUCUCUCCCCCGGAG